rnacentral:ncRNA from 1 species
GCAAAAUUAAGCUACUUAAAUACUAUAUUUUGUGAUAUAACCAUGGGACCUGUCGUUAAAGUAGCUUAGGUUCAAGACUAUUUAUUUUCAAAUAAAGGUUGUAAUAUUGGUUGCAUAUUUCGUUAAGAGGGACAAACAGGGUCAUUCGUACUGUUUCGUUAGAGGUAAAAUUCUUGAAUCGGCGCAGGACGAACGACUGCGAAAGUAUUUGCCAAGAAUGUUUUCUUU